rnacentral:rRNA from 1 species
UACGUAGGUGGCAAGCGUUGUCCGGAAUUACCGGGCGUAAAGCGUGCGCAGGCGGUUCGUGAUGUCUGGUGUGAAAGCCCCGGGCUUAACCUGGGAAUUGCAUUGGAAACUAGCGGGCUGGAGUGUGGCAGAGGGGGGUGGAAUUCCACGUGUAGCAGUGAAAUGCGUAGAGAUGUGGAGGAACACCGAUGGCGAAGGCAGCCCCCUGGGCUAACACUGACGCUCAUGCACGAAAGCGUGGGGAGCAAGACGG